UACGGAGGGUGCGAGCGUUGUCCGGAAUCACUGGGCGUAAAGGGCGCGUAGGCGGCUCAUGAAGGCUGUGGUGAAAGUCCGGGGCUCAACCUCGGAUCGGCCGUGGCGACUCGUGGGCUGGAGCACUGUAGAGGCGGGUGGAAUUCCGGGUGUAGCGGUGGAAUGCGUAGAGAUCCGGAAGAACACCAGUGGCGAAGGCGGCCCGCUGGGCAGUGGCCUGACGCUGAAGCGCGACAGCGUGGGGAGCAA
rnacentral:rRNA from 1 species